rnacentral:rRNA from 2 species
GACGUAGGGGGCCAGCGUUGCUCGGAAUUACUGGGCGUAAAGGGUUCGUAGGCGGUGUGGUAAGUCGGAAGUGAAAUCUCUGGGCUUAACUCAGAGGCUGCUUUCGAAACUGCCGCGCUAGAGUGCGGGAGAGGCGAGUGGAAUUACAGGUGUAGCGGUGAAAUGCGUAGAUAUCUGUAGGAACACCCGUGGCGAAGGCGGCUCGCUGGACCGCAACUGACGCUGAGGAACGAAAGCUAGGGGAGCAAACAGG